GAGUAACGCGUGAGAAUCUGCCUUCUGGUCGGGGACAACCAUUGGAAACGGUGGCUAAUACCGGAUAUGCCUACGGGUGAAAGAUUAAUUGCCAGAAGAAGAGCUCGCGUCUGAUUAGCUAGUUGGAGAGGUAAAGGCUCACCAAGGCAUCGAUCAGUAGCUGGUCUGAGAGGACGAUCAGCCACACUGGGACUGAGACACGGCCCAGACUCCUACGGGAGGCAGCAGUGGGGAAUUUUCCGCAAUGGGCGAAAGCCUGACGGAGCAAGACCGCGUGAGGGAGGAAGGCUCUUGGGUUGUAAACCUCUUUUGUCAGGGAAGAAGAAAGUGACGGUACCUGAAGAAUCAGCAUCGGCUAACUCCGUGCCAGCAGCCGCGGUAAUACGGGGGAUGCAAGCGUUAUCCGGAAUUAUUGGGCGUAAAGCGUCCGCAGGUGGUUUAUCAAGUCUGCUGUCAAAUCGUAGGGCUUAACCCUAUAAAGGCAGUGGAAACUGAGAGACUAGAGUACGGUAGGGGUAGCGGGAAUUCCCAGUGUAGCGGUGAAAUGCGUAGAUAUUGGGAAGAACACCAGCGGCGAAGGCGCGCUACUGGGCCGAAACUGACACUCAUGGACGAAAGCUAGGGGAGCG
rnacentral:rRNA from 1 species